rnacentral:rRNA from 1 species
AGUGAACGCUGGCGGUAGGCCUAACACAUGCAAGUCGAACGGCAGCACAGUAAGAGCUUGCUCUUACGGGUGGCGAGUGGCGGACGGGUGAGGAAUACAUCGGCAUCUACUUUUUCGUGGGGGAUAACGUAGGGAAACUUACGCUAAUACCGCAUACGACCUACGGGUGAAAGCAGGGGAUCUUCGGACCUUGCGCGAUUGAAUGAGCCGAUGUCGGAUUAGCUAGUUGGCGGGGUAAAGGCCCACCAAGGCGACGAUCCGUAGCUGGUCUGAGAGGAUGAUCCGCCACACUGGAACUGAGACACGGUCCAGACUCCUACGGGAGGCAGCAGUGGGGAAUAUUGGACAAUGGGCGCAAGCCUGAUCCAGCCAUACCGCGUGGGUGAAGAAGGCCUUCGGGUUGUAAAGCCCUUUUGUUGGGAAAGAAAAGCAGCAGGUUAAUACCCCGCUGUUCUGACGGUACCCAAAGAAUAAGCACCGGCUAACUUCGUG